GAUGAACGCUGGCGGCGUGCCUAAUACAUGCAAGUCGAGCGAACGGACGAGAAGCUUGCUUCUCUGAUGUUAGCGGCGGACGGGUGUGUAACACGUGUAUAACCUACCUAUAAGAGUGGGAUAACUUCGGGAAACCGGAGCUAAUACCGUAUAAUAUUUUGAAGCGCAUGGGUCAAAAGUGAAAUACGGUGUUGCUGUAAGUUAUAGAUGCAUCUGCGCUGCAUUAGCUAGUUGUUAAGGUAACGGCUUACGAAGGCAACGAUGCAUAGCCGACCUGAGAGGGUGAUCGGCCACACUGGAACUGAGCCACGGUCCAGACUCCUACGGGAGGCAGCAGUAGGGAAUCUUCCGCAAUGGGCGAAAGCAUGACGGAGCAACGCCGCGUGAGUGAUGAAGGUCUUCGGAUCGUAAAACUCUGUUAUUAGGGAAGAACAUAUGUGUAAGUACCUGUGCACAUCUUGACGGUACCUAAUAAGAAAGCCACGGCUAACUACGUG
rnacentral:rRNA from 1 species